rnacentral:rRNA from 1 species
GAUGAACGCUGGCGGCGUGCCUAAUACAUGCAAGUCGAGCGAACGGACGAGAAGCUUGCUUCUCUGAUGUUAGCGGCGGACGGGUGAGUAACGCGUGGAUAACCUACCUAUAAGACUGGGAUAACUUCGGGAAACCGGAGCUAAUACCGGAUAAUAUUUUGAACCGCAUGGUUCAAAAGUGAAAGACGGUCUUGCUGUCACUUAUAGAUGGAUCCGCGCUGCAUUAGCUAGUUGGUAAGGUAACGGCUUACCAAGGCAACGAUGCAUAGCCGACCUGAGAGGGUGAUCGGCCACACUGGAACUGAGACACGGUCCAGACUCCUACGGGAGGCAGCAGUAGGGAAUCUUGCGCAAUGGGCGAAAGCCUGACGGAGCAACGCCGCGUGAGUGAUGAAGGUCUUCGGAUCGUAAAACUCUGUUAGUAGGGAAGAACAUAUGUGUAAGUAACUGUGCACAUCUUGACGGUACCUAAUCAGAAAGCCACGGCUAACUACGUG